AUCGCUUCUUGGUCUUUUGACUAAGAUCAAGUGUAAUAUCUGUUCUUACCAGUUUACUAUCUGAUUUGUCCUCUAUCCAAGGACAAUACACUAAAUAGAUUUUCAGAGCAGGGAGUUGGAACAGGAGCCUGCUCUGACCACUCCACGCACUGACCUUGUAUUGCAGUACCUCCAGGAAUGGUGCACCCACU
ensembl:snRNA U2 U2 spliceosomal RNA